UCCCGUUGAUCCUGCGGGAGGUUGCUGCUAUUAGAAUUCGACUAAGCCAUGCAAGUUCUGGCCCGUCUUCGGAUGGACCGGCAUAAUGCUCAGUAACACGUCGUUAAUCUACCCUAUUCUCUGGGAUAACCUUGGGAAACUGAGGAUAAUACCGGAUAUGAGAUUAUUUCUGGAAUGAUUUUUCUCUGAAAGUUUCGGCGGAGUAGGAUGAGACGGCGGCUGAUUAGGUAGUUGGCGGGGUAAUGGCCCACCAAGCCUACGAUCAGUAGGGGCCCUGAAAGGGGUAGCCCCGAGAAGGUCACUGAAACACUGGACCUAGCCCUACGGGGUGCAGCAGGCGCGAAACCUUUACAAUGCACGCAAGUGUGAUAAGGGGAUUCUAAGUGCUCAUGUUACGCAUGGGCUUUUGCCAAGAGUAAAUAUCUUGGCGAAUAAGUGGUGGGCAAGACUGGUGCCAGCAGCCGCGGUAACACCAGCGCCACGAGUGGCAACCAGAAUUAUUGGGCCUAAAGCGUUCGUAGCCGGUUAUACAAAUCUUUUGUGAAAUUGUGAAGCUCAACUUUGCAGAUGGCAGAAGACACUAUAUAACUAGGGACCGGAAGGAGUUAGGAGUAUUAAUGGGGGAGCGGUAAAAUGUUGUAAUCCCAUUAAGACUACCUGUGGCGAAGGCGCCUAACCAGUACGGAUCCGACGGUGAGGAACGAAAGCCAGGGGAGCGAUCCGGAUUAGAUACCCGAGUAGUCCUGGCCGUAAACUCUGCGAGCAAGGUGUUGCAUAUUUUACGAGAAUAUGCAGUGUCGAAACGAAGGUGUUAAGCUCGCCGCCUGGGGAGUACGGUCGCAAGACUGAAACUUAAAGGAAUUGGCGGGGGAGCACUACAAGGGGUGCGGCGUGCGGUUUAAUCGAACUUUACACCGAGAAUCUCACCAAGAGCGACGGCAGGAUGAAAGUCAGGCUAAAGACCUUACUUGACAAGCCGAGAGGUGGUGCAUGGCCGCCGCCAGCUCGUGCCGUAAGGUGUCCAGUUAAGUCUGGUAACGAGCAAGACCUGUGCCUACAAUUGCCAGCGAGCAUUUUUGUGAUCGGGCACAAUGUAGGAACUGCUUUGGAAACAAAGAGGAAGGUGCAGGCAACGGUAGGUCUGUAUGCCCCGAAUCCCUUGGGCUACACGCGCCCAACAAUGGUAAGGACAACGGGAUGCCACUCCGAAAGGAGAAGCUAAGCCUCUAAACCUUAUCUAAGUCCAGAUUGAGGGUAGUAACUCACCCUCAUGACGAUGGAAUCCCUAGUAAUCAGAAGUCAUCAGCUUCUGGUGAAUAUGUCCCUGCUCCUUGCACACACCGCCCGUCAAACCACUCGAGCAGGGUUUAGGUGAGCAUUAGCUGUAAGGUUAAUUCGAACCUAAGCUCAGUGAGAUGGGUUAAGUCGUCACAAGGUA
rnacentral:rRNA from 1 species